rnacentral:lncRNA from 1 species
AGUGAUGGUAUAUGCCUUCUCUCAAUGUAUGUGGUAUUGUGGUAUAAGGCAUAGUAACAUUGCCUUCUCUCUCAUCCUACUCGAAUAAGGCUUUGAUAUCUAGGGCUCAUAGGUGGGAGAUAAAAUAUACAUACUUACAAGACAUUUAUUGUAUAGUCAAACCAUGGAUCCAAAGAAACAAGCCAAUAAGUCAAAUCAAGAUGUGCAUGUGUGGCGAAUGAAUGGUGUAUGGUGAUGAUGGUGAUAACAAUGGUGGAAGUCCAAUUCUACUUUUGCUCUUUGAGGGGAUACAUACCUUCCUUGCUCUCUGAAACUUUGUGAGGAGAAUGAGAUGCUCUAUCUUUUCGUUUUCUUUCCUCUCAGGUGGGUAUCUUGUACCCCUAAUUCUAUUGUCGGACACUUGUCCAUUUUUACCUCUCGUCUCACUUUUUCUUUUCUUUCGAGGUUCUGGACACUUGCUCCUUUUUAUUUUCUCGUUUCUCUUUUUUCUCUCUUUUUUAGAGCACUCAUCUCUUGAGAUAAUAUUGCAAGUGGUAGUAACAAGAUAACUUGAGCAUUUAUUUCACAGGGGAAAAAUAGAAAUAUUUUUGGUUAUUCUCUCCCGGAUUAGGAGUAGAAUAUUUCUGGGUGGUUCUGGAGAUGGAAAUGGGUGGAUAUAUGUGGAUGGUACUUCCGGAGUAGAAGUAGCAUAUGUGAGUGAACGUGCAAGUGAAUCUUGAUUUAACCACAUGACAAGCUCCUAAGGGUCUACACAGCUUGACCACACUCAAUGCUCAUAAGCAGUAAAAAGUAAAUGUGUGGCUCAAAGUCUAGCAAGCAUGUAUAUAUGGCUGUGGUAGGAAUUUAAACUCUCAUCAUACAGGAACUCAUCAUG